AUUGAACGCUGGCGGCAGGCCUAACACAUGCAAGUCGAGCGGAUGAAGGGAGCUUGCUCCUGGAUUCAGCGGCGGACGGGUGAGUAAUGCCUAGGAAUCUGCCUGGUAGUGGGGGAUAACGUCCGGAAACGGGCGCUAAUACCGCAUACGUCCUGAGGGAGAAAGUGGGGGAUCUUCGGACCUCACGCUAUCAGAUGAGCCUAGGUCGGAUUAGCUAGUUGGUGGGGUAAAGGCCUACCAAGGCGACGAUCCGUAACUGGUCUGAGAGGAUGAUCAGUCACACUGGAACUGAGACACGGUCCAGACUCCUACGGGAGGCAGCAGUGGGGAAUAUUGGACAAUGGGCGAAAGCCUGAUCCAGCCAUGCCGCGUGUGUGAAGAAGGUCUUCGGAUUGUAAAGCACUUUAAGUUGGGAGGAAGGGCAGUAAGUUAAUACCUUGCUGUUUUGACGUUACCAACAGAAUAACCACCGGCUAACUUCGUG
rnacentral:rRNA from 1 species